GGCUCAGAACGAACGCUGGCUGCGUGGAUUAGGCAUGCAAGUCGAACGGGAAGCCGUGUUUCAAUCUUCGGAGAGAAAGUGCGGUGGAUAGUGGCGGAAGGGUGAGUAACGCGUGGGUAAUUUACCCUCAAGUUGGGGACAACCCCGCGAAAGCGGGGCUAAUACCGAAUGUGGUUCUCCGGUGCAUAUCGGGGUGACUAAAGGUGGGGAUCUUUCGGGACCUGCCGCUUGAGGAGAAGCCCGCGUCCCAUCAGCUUGUUGGUGAGGUAACGGCUCACCAAGGCAGACGGGUAGCCGGCCUGAGAGGGUGAUCGGCCACACUGGGACUGAGACACUGCCCAGACUCCUACGGGAGGCUGCAGUCGAGGAUCAUUCGCAAUGCGCGAAAGCGUGACGAUGCGACGCUGCGUGGAGGAUGAAGGCCCUAGGGUUGUAAACUCCUGUCAUGAGGGAACAGUCCUUCCGUGCCUAACAGGUGCGGGAAUCGAUGGUACCUCAAGAGGAAGCCACGGCUAACUCUGUGCCAGCAGCCGCGGUAAUACAGAGGUGGCUAGCGUUGUUCGGAUUUACUGGGCGUAAAGCGUGCGUAGGCGGUUUCGUGUGUCGGGUGUGAAAGCCCACGGCUCAACCGUGGAAUUGCAUCCGAAACUGCGGGACUAGAGUGCAAUAUGGGAGAGCGGAAUUCUUGGUGUAGCGGUGAAAUGCGUUGAUAUCAAGAAGAACACCGGUGGCGAAGGCGGCUCUCUGGAGUGCAACUGACGCUGAGGCACGAAAGCUGGGGGAGCGAACAGGAUUAGAUACCCUGGUAGUCCCAGCCGUAAACGUUGCGCACUUGGUGUGGGAGGAUUUGACCCCUUCCGUGCCGGAGUUAACGCGUUAAGUGCGCCGCCUGGGGAGUACGGCCGCAAGGCUAAAACUCAAAGAAAUUGACGGGGGCCCGCACAAGCGGAGGAGCAUGUGGCUUAAUUCGAUGCAACGCGAAGAACCCCACCUGGGCUUGACAUGGUGCUGCACGUCCCGUGAAAACGGGACAGCCUUCGAGGGUGCACCACAGGUGCUGCAUGGCUGUCGUCAGUUCGUGCCGUGAGGUGUUGGGUUAAGUCCCGCAACGAACGCAACCCUUAUGUUUAGUUGCCACCGGUGGUGAUGAGCCGCCGAGCACUCUAGACAGACUGCCUGUACAAGCAGGAGGAAGGUGGGGAUGACGUCAAGUCAGUAUGGCCCUUACGCCCAGGGCUGCACACGUGCUACAAUGGUCGGUACAAUGGGAAGCAAGACCGCGAGGUGGAGCAAAUCCCCAAAGCUGGCCCCAGUUCGGAUUGGAGUCUGCAACUCGACUCCAUGAAGUUGGAUUCGCUAGUAACGGCGCAUCAGCUACGGCGCCGUGAUACGUUCCCGGGCCUUGUACACACCGCCCGUCACAUCAUGAAAGCCGUCUGCACCCGAAGUCGCCGAGCUAACCCGUCAGGGAAGCAAGUGCCGAAGGUGUGGGUGGUGAUUGGGAU
rnacentral:rRNA from 1 species